UUGCUUCUGCAGCAGAUAUGCUAAUAAUAGAACAGUACAGGUAAGAUUAGCACACGCCUGUGCAAAGAUGGAAUGCAAAUUCAGGAAAAUUCAGGGUUUUUU